rnacentral:rRNA from 1 species
UGAGCAACCUGCCCUCAGCUCUGGGAUAACCCCGGGAAACCGGGGCUAAUACUGGAUAUGACUCGAACAGGCAUCUGUUUCGGGUGGAAAGAUUUAUUGGUGGAGGAUGGACUCGCGGCCUAUCAGCUUGUUGGUGAGGUAAUGGCUCACCAAGGCGACGACGGGUAGCCGGCCUGAGAGGGCGAUCGGCCACACUGGGACUGAGACACGGCCCAGACUCCUACGGGAGG